CGUUCAAACACCAGCUCCCGUAUGAUCACUGAAGUUAAGCAAUGUCAAGUCUGGUCAGUACCUAGAUGGGUAACCACUUGGGAAUAUCAGGUGCUGUAA